rnacentral:rRNA from 1 species
AUUGAACGCUGGCGGCAGGCCUAACACAUGCAAGUCGAGCGGAUGAAGGGAGCUUGCUCCUGGAUUCAGCGGCGGACGGGUGAGUAAUGCCUAGGAAUCUGCCUGGUAGUGGGGGAUAACGUCCGGAAACGGGCGCUAAUACCGCAUACGUCCUGAGGGAGAAAGUGGGGGAUCUUCGGACAUCACGCUAUCAGAUGAGCCUAGGUCGGAUUAGCUAGUUGGUGGGGUAAAGGCCUACCAAGGCGACGAUCCGUAACUGGUCUGAGAGGAUGAUCAGUCACACUGGAACUGAGACACGGUCCAGACUCCUACGGGAGGCAGCAGUGGGGAAUAUUGGACAAUGGGCGAAAGCCUGAUCGAGCCAUGCCGCGUGUGUGAAGAAGGUCUUCGGAUUGUAAAGCACUUUAAGUUGGGAGGAAGAGCAGUAAGUUAAUCCCUUGCUGUUUUGACGUUACCAACAGAAUAAGCACCGGCUAACUUCGUG